rnacentral:rRNA from 1 species
UACGUAGGAGGCAAGCGUUGUCCGGAAUUACUGGGCGUAAAGCGCGUGUAGGUGGUGGGACAAGUCUGCUGUGAAAGCGCCUGGCUUAACCGGGCGAGGUCGGCGGAAACUGUCCGACUCGAGGACGGUAGAGGGGGGUGGAAUUCCCGGUGUAGUGGUGAAAUGCGUAGAGAUCGGGAGGAACACCGGCGGUGUAGACGGCUUACUGGACCAUGACUGACGCUGAGGCACGAAAGCGUGGGGAGCAAACAGG